ensembl:lncRNA uncharacterized LOC115615238
CUUUCUGCGCGGCCCGGGGCGCUGGGGCGCGGCGGUGGGGAUGCGGGGCGCCCUGCGGCGGGUGCCCCUCUCGGCGGGUGCCCCUCUCGGCGGGUGCCCGGCGGCGGGGGCGGUGCUGCCGGUGGCUCUGUGGCUUGUGAGCGGUUCCGUCCGUGCCGCAGCGGUAGCUUGGGCCGCCGGGCGCUCCGGCAGCGGCAGGGCGGUGGCUGGCGGCCCGGGGAGCGAUGCACUCGGCCUCAGAGCUGCUGCCGCUGCCUCCCGAGGCAGCUCCUUCGGCAGAGCAUGUGCGCGCCCGAGCAGCAGAGCGGUUCCCCGUUUCUCUCACAGGGGUUAGAACUGCUCUCUGCUGUUCAGCGGCAGAGGGGUUGGAGCUGGAUGAUAUUUAAGGUCCCUUCCAACCCAAACCAUGCUAUGAUUAUAAAUCCAAUUCUGGCAGCACAAAACAAUAACUAUAAGCUGAGGAACUGAAGGGGCGGGUCGCUGGCACCGUUCCCUUAACGGCGUAAGGCAUCACUUAAAAGGCAGCAAGUGAAGUUAUGAGUUUGUUACAAGGUUUGGGAAUCAUCAGUCUGGACUCUGCCAUGCUGUUGCCUUGCAAGCAGAAAGAUGUCAUGUCAAUUCUGGAGCUACAGAAGUGCUGUGACAUCAGAUGACCUUCUCCACUGUCUCCAAACCCUGUGUAUGCACAUACAGCCAACAGCAGACUGCAUCCACCUCUAGAAGAAUGGGUGUUUAAGGUGCUUGAACACAGCAGCCUGAAAUGUGGAGUUCUAAUGCACUUGGAAAUGCUUUCCUGGCCCUUCCUGUUCCUCAGAAAUAUGGCUUGAUUCAACAGCAAGGCAGGGGAGCAGCUGUUCUGUGAACAAUCCUCAGAUGAUGUUCAGCUGAAACUCUAGAAAGGGAAACAGCCCUGUGGGCACUUGGAGAACUCAGUAUGAAUACCUAACUGUACCAAAUUGAAGAAAAUUGAAUAAAUUGAGUGUUAAAACCUGUAGAAGAACUGUCUAAAUGAGUGUUUACACUGUUAGUAGUGGCAGCUUUCCUGCUUGCCUUCAUGGCAGUGUGUGUAUGAGUAAAAUCUCGGGUUUGUGUUUUCAGUGACUAGUGUUUUGUCGAGGCGCUGUGAGUGGUACAUCCUGCUGGAUGCCCUGGCUAGGAGUCACACCGAGCAAACCUUUGGUGUCCAGCUUGUUAAAGCUGACGGGGAAACCUGUACAAUUUUUCUGCUGCCUCUUUUUAACCCAGGCCCUCGUGGAUGUAAAAUCUGGCCAGUGUUCUGCCUAUUGCCAUAUUGAUGUUAGGAAGACAGAAUUCAGGAAAGUCCAUAGUUGGAGAAGCAUGUGGUGUCUCAGCCACUUCAUCUUCUACCACACCAUUCUUUACACUUGUUUUUGCAGUGAGGUAGAUAGAGUUGAUCUCACUGAGCUGCCUACCCACCAGAUUGCCUGACAGCUUUUUUGUUUCACUUUCCUGUAGGGUUCUACUCUCCCCUGCAGUCUAUACAAAGUAAUGUGGAAAUAGUGAGGUUUUUUAGACUGCAGGAGCACACUUGGCAUCCUGCUCUAAUAUGGUGCUGUAAUGUAAAACUAAGACACAGAACAUCAAGCAGUAUGGUGACGCUUUUAUACAUUUUACAGAGCACGAGUAAUUUAAGAAAGUUGGCUUAAGCCGGAAAAUGUACCACCCCUCAUUGAGUGGUGUAUUUAAAAAGAAGCAACAAGAGAAACUUUUUGGAGAGAGUUCAUGGAGUUGAAAUGAAACAUUAGAUUCUAAACUCCUGGUUUAAUUCUUAGUUGUAGUCUUAUUAAAAGCCCUGCUUUAUUCCUCGCUUAACUGUGGACGAACAGUGGUAGCCAGGAAGUAAAGUUCAGGUUCUGGCUUUAUUCUGAAGCUGUGGCCUUCCAGGAUGAAGAUGUCACUCCUGCCUCUAAAACAACACUGUCACAAAACUUGUGAUUAAAUCUUGUCAACCAUGCUUUAUCCCUUAGCAAACCAGCACUGACCUGUCUGACAAAAACACUAAAAACUUUAUUAGUUGUAUAUUUCUAACUGCAGUCUCAGAAGGCUAAAGACUCAGGCUUUACUUACUUACACAAUGGACUUUUCACUCUUCAUUAGUGUUAAUGUGAAUUCCUGGGCCAUAUGCACCAAUGAACUUCAGCAGUUGAUGGUGACACUGCAUGAGGUAACUGUCUCUCUGUUGCAGGGAGUUUUCAUCACUGAGGUCAAAUGGAAAUACAGGAUUUGGUGCUAUGCAUAAUGCAGACUUGCCUAAGCAAAGAAGAAAGAGACUUAUGCUGAAAGAUGUGAUAAACUUCUGCCAGAUUUGAUAAACUUCCCUUCGAAGGGAAAAGAAAGCUGUGACACAGAUUACUUAAAUGGCAACAUAAAAGAUUGUGUUGUGGAGUGUUACAUGGUAAUUCUUGUCUCACUGCCAAAUUUGUGUAUGAACCAAUGUGACUGUGAUGCUAGAUAAACAACCUGCAACCCUUGUCUACUGUUUCCCCAGGGAGGGAAGUCUGCCAGCAUGAAGGACAGCACUGACUGUGUGGCAAAGUCAACUGAAAGACCUGACACAAGUCUUCAGUGCAACUUCUGGACUUUGAUUUGACAUGAACUAUUAUUGCAAUCAAUUGAUACAAACUUUUUUCAAACUGACAAAAUCUGAAAACUCUGUACCCAAGACUAAAGACUGAGUUGCAUUAUUUACCGUGUUUUAGGGUCAGAGAUGAUUCAAGUAACAAGACGGCAAUCAACGCAUCUUCUUCAAGUACUUUCUUUCUUAGACUUAGUUUAGCAUGAGCCUUAGACAGUGAAAUCCUGACACAUGAAUACAAGCAUGUCAGAAAUAAAUAUUGCGGACAUGAAUGUAGUAUGUACUGUGCUGCUUCAAGCGCUUCCAAACCUCAAAAGUUAACACAAGUGGGUUUUUCCUAUACCUUGGCUGUGUAAACUCCCCCCAGAUACUGUGUGGUUAUACUUGUCACUGACGAGGUGUGUGUUACUAGGCAUGCUUUUCUUAUGCUCUGAAAGCAGUGGAAGCUGGCAUAUUAUAUACUGUUAAUAACUUUGCUUGUGUAAUACCAAGCUGUAAUAAUUAAAAUCCGAUUUUUGUUUU